rnacentral:lncRNA from 1 species
UGAACAGUCAAUGCAGAACAUUCCCGAUCCAGACAUGCCCCAACUACCACUUCUCCAACACCAGCAGGGCUCCCCGACAACUUGCUCACUUCUGACUCUAACCAGUUAGUACAGACCUCUGGAUUAAGGCUGCAGUCCUGCAAGACUGCCCCCACCUUCAAACACGAUUGCAAGUAGUAGCUUCCCUGGUUACCCACAAUUUCUAUCUGACCUGGCUACUAAUCAUUUAUGAAAGGGUGUUACAAAGUUGAACAGCUGGAUAAAGGGGUGCAUACAGUAAGGUGUGAGUCCCCUCUGGGGCACCCCCUCCUGGAACCACCACACACUGGUCAUUCUGGAAGUGCUCUGAUACCACUUAACCUCUAUACUAUACUGAGAUGAUGGCAGAAGGCAGAUUUAGACAAUGGGACACCUGCAGUUUGGGUUGUUUUAAUCAGUUCCCUAGGGUCUGCUUCCUUAAAUGAUGCUGCGCGGAUUUCCUUUUGGGUACAAAAUACCAACGUGUGUUCCCAGCCUGUUGUUCCAUGGACAGGGAUGGACAGUCGCUGUCACUGUGGUAAGUGCGUGUUUGGAGCUACCCUCAUUCUCACCUUCCUGUGUGUGCAGGGAAGAGCCAAGGUGACCUGGAGCAGUCAGGAGACAGAAGGGCUGAGUGUGGGCUCCAUGGGCUCUGGAGGCGUGAGGUGAGGCAAGGUGUUUGCCUUUGCAGAACCUGUUUCUGUGUGAAAAAAGAUCCAAGGGAUAAUUUUGUUGAGCCUGCCUCAAGGGCAUGCGCUGAUGGUUGUGAAGAUGCUGCAGUUGUGAAAGGUCUUUGGGAGGAUCCAACGCUCCCACUUGAGUGUCUGGGGCCUCUUGACCAGUCAGCACCUGGCCGGCCAAUAGUACCGGCCCAGGCUGAUGGAUGAUAAAGAGAGGAGGGUGUGCAGAGGGAGCCAGGAGAUCACAGUGGCCCAUUCUGGACUGCAGGAGGCUGGGUGGCCUUGGAAGGGUCUGAAGACGCCCAUCUACCAGCUCUGUCUCUUGUAGCAGGUUCUGGUGACCCAGUUGGACCCUGAGUACUUGAGAAAGAGCUCUGGGAAUUGGGAAUGGGGCCUGAGACUGAGAAAUGAAGCCUGAAGUUUCCCCCAGCUUUGAGUUCAAGGUCCUAUUCUGGCUCCACUUCAGCAGAACUGUCCUAUCUUCCCACACCUCACCAGAAUCCCUCCUUGACACACUCUGGGCAGGCCCUGUGAGUCCUCUCAUCCCCUACCCGCUGCCUGGGCCUGUGAAGACUUGAACAGACACUGACAAGGUUUCUAACAGCGCAAGCCCCAUCCCUAAGAUUACUCCAGACUGACUAAGAGGACCUGCAUGGGAAAGCUCAAGACCAUCCCAGGAAUUGACUGUUUCUUCUAGCCAACACUUGAAGGUGGGGUCCCCUGCUUUCCAGUGUAUGUGGGAGAGCAGCAGCCUAACUUUGACAAGUAUCGUUUCUAACCAUUUGUCUCACAUGGACCAUCCACUGCCAUCUGCUUUUUAAAGUUUUGCACUUCGCUGGCUUUACUGUGGCCAGCUCACCCCCUCCUCCUCCACGUUCUUCCUUUACAACACCAGCCGCUCUGUACAAACUCAGGUGAGGUUCAGUUCACACUGGACUUUUCCCUGCCACCAUGGUGGGUACUAAGGUCUGUCCUCACCACUAUAACUGGUGCUGACUUUGUCUCCACUCCCGCCCCAACUGCCCAGCCCCUCCUUUUUUCCUGUUUUGGGCAGGACCUGGUUUGUUAUCUGACUGUGGGAAUUAUUUAAUGCCCGACUUCUCACCUAGAGAAGCCCCUUGAG